GCAAACUUGGUCAUUUAGAGGAAGUAAAAGUCGUAACAAGGUUUCCGUAGGUGAACCUGCGGAAGGAUCAUUACCAAAUGGAGACAUUCUCUCUAACACCUGUUGUGAACUUGUAUUUGUUGCUUCCGUGGGUCAUGCCCGCAUGCAUUAUGCGGACUGCCAUUGAUUCCGGUCAAGGCGCUCGCGGAAGUCAUGUCUUAACAUCUGUUUUGUGAAAUGACGUCCGAGUAUGAUCUAUGUAAGAUACACUUUAAAACUUUCAACAACGGAUCUCUUGGUUCUCGCAUCGAUGAAGAACGCAGC
rnacentral:misc_RNA from 1 species